CCCAGGCAUGUGCCCUUGACCGGAAUCGAACCUGGGACCCUUCAGUCCACAGGCCGACGCUUUAUCCACUGAGCCAAACCAGCUAGGGCUUAAAUCUCCCCUUUUAUGGCUUCUAGGUUUUGUGUCAGAAUUAGGACAUCCCAGUGAGAGGAUUUUGAAAGCACCUGGUGAUGAGGCAUGAAGGCCUGUAGCCAAGGCAGACUAGAAUAUGGAAGGAUUCAGUGAAAAAGGAUCACCAAGGGAGGAGGAGAAAGGAAAACAUGGAUGUGACAGCAGGAAACAGAUCAAGCUUGGGGAUCGAGCUUGAAACCUGGGCAUGUGCCCCAACCCAUGUGUGCCUGACUGGAAUUGAACCAGAUGUCGACAAGAUUUUGGGGAUGCUGAGGUAUGUGAAGCUUUCUGAGUUCUAAUGUCAGAGAAAGGCACUGUAGAGACAGAACGGAGAUAGCUGGGUCACGAGACCCCCUUCUCGCACUGUCCAGCCUUAGAAUUACC